rnacentral:rRNA from 1 species
GACGAACGCUGGCGGCGUGCUUAACACAUGCAAAUCGAACGAAGAGCGAUGGAAGCUUGCUUCUAUCAAUCUUAGUGGCGAACGGGUGAGUAACGCGUAAUCAACCUGCCCUUCAGAGGGGGACAACAGUUGGAAACGACUGCUAAUACCGCAUACGAUCUAACCUCGGCAUCGAGGAUAGAUGAAAGGUGGCCUCUAUUUAUAAGCUAUCACUGAAGGAGGGGAUUGCGUCUGAUUAGCUAGUUGGAGGGGUAACGGCCCACCAAGGCGAUGAUCAGUAGCCGGUCUGAGAGGAUGAACGGCCACAUUGGGACUGAGACACGGCCCAGACUCCUACGGGAGGCAGCAGUGGGGAAUCUUCCGCAAUGGACGAAAGUCUGACGGAGCAACGCCGCGUGAGUGAUGACGGCCUUCGGGUUGUAAAGCUCUGUUAAUCGGGACGAAAGGCCUUCUUGCGAAUAGUUAGAAGGAUUGACGGUACCGGAAUAGAAAGCCACGGCUAACUACGUGCCAGCAGCCGCGGUAAUACGUAGGUGGCAAGCGUUGUCCGGAAUUAUUGGGCGUAAAGCGCGCGCAGGCGGAUUGGUCAGUCUGUCUUUAAAGUUCGGGGCUUAACCCCGUGAUGGGGAUGGAAACUG